CUCUGUGACUCCUACGGGAGGCAGCAGUGGGGAAUAUUGCACAAUGGGGGAAACCCUGAUGCAGCCAUGCCGCGUGUGUGAAGAAGGCCUUCGGGUUGUAAAGCACUUUCAGUAGGGAGGAAGGUAGUGUAGUUAACACCUGCAUUAUUUGACGUUACCUACAGAAGAAGCACCGGCUAACUCCGUGCCAGCAGCCGCGGUAAUACGGAGGGUGCGAGCGUUAAUCGGAAUUACUGGGCGUAAAGCGCAUGCAGGCGGCCUGUUAAGUCAGAUGUGAAAGCCCGGGGCUUAACCUCGGAAUUGCAUUUGAAACUGGCAGGCUAGAGUCUUGUAGAGGGGGUAGAAUUUCAGGUGUAGCGGUGAAAUGCGUAGAGAUCUGAAGGAAUACCGGUGGCGAAGGCGGCCCCCUGGACAGAUACUGACACUCAGAUGCGAAAGCGUGGGGAGCAAACAGGAUUAGAUACCCUGGUAG
rnacentral:rRNA from 1 species